rnacentral:pre_miRNA from 14 species
UUUUAUGGUUGGUAGACCUCAUUGAGAUGCUGAAAGAUCCCCAAAGGGAGACCCUUACUCAAGUCUCAGGAAGUUGCAGACACCAGACACAGAGAGACCA